GCAUACAAAACAAACGGUAUUUCUGAGCAACUAUCACCCUGAUUUACAGAGGACAGAGCUAGCAGAAAGGAACAAGAGUCAAUCCAAGAGGACAAAUAGAUCAGGAUUGCUUAUUAUACCCAUGUCAGGUCCAUGAUAAGAAUGGCAGUGAAAUAGGAAACUAAGCUGAAUUUCAGCCAACUAGGGUUUAUCUAAAGGAGCAAAAAGGGGAAAACUACCAUUGGAUCUGCCCCUUGAACAGGAUCAUCAUCACAGAUAAGCAAAUCAGUGCCUAGCUUGCUGUGGAAGUUUGUGAGGAAGUCAAAGAAGAUAAACUAACAGCUCUUUAGACCCUCUCAGAAGAAUAAUAACAAUGUUUAUAUAGCAUUUUAAAGUAUUAUCUUCUUUGAUACUUACAACAAUCCUUUGAGAGCUGUCACAGGAGUCUUUUAGCAUUCCUGUAUUUCUGUCAAAGGAUAAAGUUGGGGACCACAUCAAUAUUACUUCAUGGCAUCUAUGGUCUAAGAGUCACAACCAGCUGACCUUCCAUGAAACAGUUUCAGAAAGAAGACCCUGCUAUUGAUCACUACUACUUCCUGCCUUUCUACCAUUAAAGUCACUUCUUAUAUGAGCUCAAUCCUUUACUCUCUAGGGUUUCUUUUCUAUUUGCAAAAUACUGCUACUCCUUUCCCUUCUGAUCCCCCUGGCCAUGCAGAAAAGAAAAC
rnacentral:lncRNA from 1 species